rnacentral:lncRNA from 1 species
AACAAUUAACAGAAAAAAUGAAAGAAAACAAUGCCUUACCGAUGAAGUUUGAAAAACGGGCAAACGUCAUUGCUUGCCCCGGAAUUGCAAUGAGUGGAAUCCAAUUUAAAGAAAUAAUAUUUAAA